UGGGGGAUAUUGCACAAUGGGGGGAAACCCCGUGAUGCAGCGACGCCGCGUGGGUGAAGAAGCGCCUCGGCGCGUAAAGCCCUGUCAGCAGGGAAGAAAAUGACGGUACCUGAAGAAGAAGCCCCGGCUAACUACGUGCC
rnacentral:rRNA from 1 species